AUUUAUAUAGUACAAACAGUAUACUUGACUUCCAAUCAAAUGGCCUAAUAACAUUAGUAUAAAUA
rnacentral:tRNA from 1 species